GACGAACGCUGGCGGCGUGCUUAACACAUGCAAGUCGAACGGAAAGGCCCUGCUUUUGUGGGGUGCUCGAGUGGCGAACGGGUGAGUAACACGUGAGUAACCUGCCCUGGACUUUGGGAUAACUUCAGGAAACUGGGGCUAAUACCGGAUAGGAGCUCCUGCUGAAUGGUGGGGGUUGGAAAGUUUCGGCGGUUGGGGAUGGACUCGCGGCUUAUCAGCUUGUUGGUGGGGUAGUGGCUUACCAAGGCUUUGACGGGUAGCCGGCCUGAGAGGGUGACCGGCCACAUUGGGACUGAGAUACGGCCCAGACUCCUACGGGAGGCAGCAGUGGGGAAUAUUGCACAAUGGGCGGAAGCCUGAUGCAGCAACGCCGCGUGCGGGAUGACGGCCUUCGGGUUGUAAACCGCUUUCGCCUGUGACGAAGCGUGAGUGACGGUAAUGGGUAAAGAAGCACCGGCUAACUACGUG
rnacentral:rRNA from 1 species